UACGUAGGGUGCAAGCGUUAAUCGGAAUUACUGGGCGUAAAGCGUGCGCAGGCGGCUAUGCAAGACAGAUGUGAAAUCCCCGGGCUCAACCUGGGAACUGCAUUUGUGACUGCAUAGCUAGAGUACGGUAGAGGGGGGAUGGAAUUCCGCGUGUAGCAGUGAAAUGCGUAGAUAUGCGGAGGAACACCGAUGGCGAAGGCAAUCCCCUGGACCUGUACUGACGCUCAUGCACGAAAAGGCGUGGGGAGCAAACAGG
rnacentral:rRNA from 1 species